rfam:Beta vulgaris subsp. vulgaris chromosome 8, whole genome shotgun sequence.
AAACCGUGAUGAGGGCAUAUCCUCAAUAACUCUUUGAACCUCUCCCAAGCUUCUUGUAAUGUUUCAUCACUCUCUUGCUUGAAUGUCAUAAUUUGAGACCGCAUAU